rnacentral:lncRNA from 1 species
ACCACAGAGCAGCAUCAUGCAUGAGUAUUGAAGGCAUUUCGGCUCAAACCAAAUAUUCAGAUGUGUGCAGCACAUUUUUUGGACUACUGUUUCCUGAUUCUGGGAGAGAAGACUACAAUGCCAGUGCUUCUGACUCACAGUCUGUAAGUACGUUUACAUAUGUAAAGGAUUUGCCACUGAUGAUUCAAACAUGAGUUUUAAGCAGUGUAGAGUUUGUCGUUUCUCUAAUUACAAAUGCAGACAUGGUUUUAUGUUUAUGCGGCGGGAUGCAACGCAACAUGUACAAAGACAGUACAAGUCAUUAUAAUCCAUAAUAAUGUCCCCACUGGAUGCAACAAAUGGCUUGUUUGUAAUGGGUUUUAUUGUCAUUGUCUUGUCGUGCAGGUGUUCUGACCGGGACACCCUUCACCGUAUGGUAAGGGGCGUAACAUUUCCGUCACGCACUUGAGGCAUUUAGGCAAUCACAACGCACUGGAUAGCUGGCCAAUCAGAGCACACCUUGCUUUUCAGACCGGUGAGCUUUGUAAAAAUCAACACGUUUCAGAAAGGCAGGGCAUAGGGGAGAAACAAUAAUUUGCAGUAUGUGGAAAUGAAUGUGAUUUUUUUUAAUCUUAAACUGCAUAAACACAUUUCAUUACACCAAAUACACAAAAUGUUCUUUUUAGCAACAUCAUAUGCAUGACCUGAGUGUCCAUAACCUCCCAUCCACCACUUCAACUACAUCCCACUGUUGAUCGAGCCCAGUCACAUGACCACUGCAUCGACUCACUCCCUCUCAGAGAUAAACAGUAACAGCACAUUCAUCAUACAAUGCCAGUGCCAUCGUCACAGUAGCAUGCCAUAAAUCAUAAACGCAAAAGGCCAAUAAAAUUCAUUGACAUGUUUUUUUUCUUCAAUUUGUUUCUGACAGGCUGAGACAUAUUGAAGAUCUAUCAUAUACAUCCAACCGAGAGAGCGUAACUGACGGAAAAUGGGUAUGAUGAGCAUGUAUUUUCAGAGACACUGCACUAGCAAUCAGUUUUCCCAUAAAUAAAUAUUAUUAAAAGAACAGUGAACAUAAGAAAUGAGUGCUGUGGUGUGGGAAAAAGUGUGACAUGUCUAAAACAGGUUGAAACAGGAUAUGUAAACCAGCAAACAAAAAAUAUUUAUUAUAGAAUUGCUUGAAAUAUCUGUUGUACAUUUGCCACAAAUCACUUCUGAACUCCAGUUACGGUGUGGGAUGAACGGAUUAAUAAAUAAAUGUAUGUCAUAGAAACACACCAAGGUGGUAUGGGGUCAAUCAAACAAUAUGUAUUGUAUAUUGUGAGGUAAAUUCCUAAUGUUACUUCAAACUAAAAACUGCCAUUGCACAACCUGUGAUUUUGGUACUUGGUAAAGUACAGAUUUGCACCUUCACAAAUGCCUGGCAGAUCAACUGACACCAGACACAGUCACAGCCAUAAAAAACUGCCAACUGUCAUGGUUUCUAAAUAUAGAAAAUUAAAUCUCUGACCUAUUACAAACAUAAACAGCCACAACCACCACCAAACAGACAUACAAACAUAUGCUAGACCCUUCUUAAACUGUCAUUAUCUUGACUCCUCCAAACUUUACCUACUGUAUGAGAAUAUACAACAAUUCUAUAUGCCUAUAAUUCUAUAUACAUAGGCCUAAAACUAUAGGGCUAUCAAUCAAUCUUAUUAAUAUAAUUAAUUACACAAUAUGUGAUAGAUAAACC